rnacentral:sRNA from 1 species
CUAAGAUGUUGGGGUAUUCUGAAAUAUUGGCUCAUAGACUAAAGGGUAUAUAUGAGUAGUUACGGUCCGUAAAAAGGGCGCUCUCUUGUUUUGUUUUUGUUUUGGUGUUGCCAGAAGAUUUCGCACGAUGUAGGAUCAACAUGUUAUUGACACGACGCCGCCGACGCCGCCACUUUUGAGCUUGGCGGAGCGAAAAGCACACAAACAAGAAGCGACGCAGAGCGGCGGUGCAAAAAUAAGAAGAAAAAAAAAAAAACUGAAGAGCGAAGGGGCGUGGCGGUGCGCAGGGGCGGGGCAGGUAGCCGGACAAACGGGACGAACAGGAUGAAACCCAGACGAGUUCGGCCCAACUGCAGAUUUCAUGGAACUGGCCGAAGGUUGGGGAUGCGCAGGCGCGCAAGUAAACAACAUUCCAUUCCUCGGGAAAUUUCUUCUGGCCGUUUGAGAAGCGCGCCAAAAAUAAAGCCCCGACCGAUGUCGUUUACACAAGUAUUGGGAUUUCGACUUUUCAGAUUUCUCGCGAUUCAAAGCCCUUGGCGAGAGCACUGCCGAACCAACAUACUCGAGAUUCGGGUUUCAGGGCUAGAAGCGUGUUUCUUCAAGAAUUGCAAGUUCACUUAAAAAUACGGAAAAAAGAUUCUACGAAAAUCCUUACAAGAUCUAAACUGUUUAUGCCGCCUCUGUGACAGCAAAUGAGAUUUUGGAAUUCCACCACUCCAUGUGGCGAACUCGACUCAUGGAAGCUUGACUGCAUGUAUGAAAGCGGCACAACUACCCGUUUCCGGUGGGUAGUCGGUCCGCAAUGUGGGCCGCCGACACCAUUCCACAGCCAAUUGACGUCACAAGCGACACAACAGCAACAACCUGGCACAACGCUUUCUGGGUUACAACAGCUCACGGAUGUCGAAAUGCAUCGCAAAAUGGGAGAAAAUCAGGAAAAGAAAGAAACCAAGAGUCACCUGAAUGGCAAGUUGAUUUAGGAGAGAUUUGGACAAUCAAUCGGCUUAGUUUACAGCCCAGCGGGACUCAGUGCCACAGGUUCAACUGUACAAUAAUACCCAGAAGAUGACGACGACGAUAAUAAAGGGGGAUGGGCGAUGGGGAAUGGGUGAAAUGUUAAUGGAUUGCCCUAGGACCUGCCCUCAUUCCGUUUGCCAUCUUCGUUUGUUCGCUUCUGCUCUUGUGCAUUCCCAUUCCAAAUCCCAAUCCCAUUUCCAUUCCGAUUCAAGUUGUGCUUCUCUGCCACACCGCCUUUCUGCCCCUUUUGCGGUGUUCUGUUGCUUUGUUGAUGUUACAAUUGUUGCACUUGUUGUGUGCGGCUUAGGACGUUGAACCACAGCCGGCAGAAAUGCAGAACUGCACGCAACUCAGUGGCAAGUGUACAGCUGCGGUCACAGUAUUAGCAAUGCAUUGCAAGGAAUUCCUUCAGACUGCUGUAUAAUUGAUUUCCCUACGCGUAAAUUGGCCGACAUGUUUUAGUUAUUAUCUGCAAUCCAAAGGUUCGGAAGCAACGGAUUUUCGAAAGGCCCUAAAGACAUUAAUAUACAUAUAUGUAUGUCUUUACAACUCCGAAGUACUUAGGAAAAAUGACCAAUCAAUCGGAUAUAUACAUAAUUCCCAAUGUCUGCGUUCUUCUUUCCAUUUCAUUCUUGCAAAUUGCUAACAUUUUUACCGCCGUCGCUGUCGCAUUCAUUUUUAUGCUCAUUCGCCAACUUAAAGGCUAUGCUAGUAAAAAUCAAUAAACAACAU